rnacentral:misc_RNA from 1 species
GAAAUGCGAUAAGUAGUGUGAAUUGCAGAAUUCAGUGAAUCAUCGAAUCUUUGAACGCACAUUGCGCCCUUUGGUAUUCCAAAGGGCAUGCCUGUUCGAGCGUCAUUUGUACCCUCAAGCUUUGCUUGGUGUUGGGCGUCUUGUCUCUAGCUUUGCUGGAGACUCGCCUUAAAGUAAUUGGCAGCCGGCCUAUUGGUUUCGGAGCGCAGCACAAGUCGCACUCUCUAUCAGCAAAGGUCUAGCAUCCAUUAAGCCUUUUUUCAACUUUUGACCUCGGAUCAGGUAGGGAUACCCGCUGAAGUUAAGC